rnacentral:lncRNA from 1 species
UUCAAAGAUAUCUAUUAUGUCUUAAAUUUGAUUUUAUAUCAGUUAACAUUGUUGUGGAGCACACACGCACUAUAUCAGUGAUAACAGUCUAAGAUUUGAUGAUUGAUUGGGAAAUUACUGAUUUGUUUUAAUAUGAUGUAUUAUCAUGUUUACUUUUUUUCUCUAAGGCCGGUUGAAUAGACUUGUUUCUGUCAUUACUGUUGGAUUCGUAGGCAUAUAGAUUAGUUUCAUUACAUUGUAUUGCAUAACAUUUUUGUGUUUUUGCUUGAGGACAAGCAAAGAUUUAAGUUUGGGGGUAUUUGAUGAGUGAGUUUUAUACCCAUGAAUUGGAUACAUUCGGGCUUAAUUUAUUGUUGUUCUUAAGUCUUUUAGGAUGUUUUUAUGUGUUUGUGUCUAUUUAAGCAUGUUUUAUAUUGUUUUGUAGGAUUUGGGACAAAAGUUACAUGGAUCGACGUUCGGGGUGGCUAGAUUCACGUUUUCGGC